UCUGCGGUGGUGUAACGGGAACACAUCCGACCGGAGAUUGGAAGUUGUGGGUUCGAGUCCCACCUGCUGAA